UUCUAUGAACUACAAAGACUUAGAAGUACUGACAACUCAGCAGUGAUAAAACACCCAUUGAGAUGAGAUUGUGGCUUCUAAAUACCAUUUGCUGACAAAAGCAAUUAGGACUCCUUGGAUGAGUGGCUAAUUCUGAGUCUUGAGCAGGACAUACUUAAGACUCACUCCCUGCCCUGGGGCGAGGAGAGACAAUGUGCAUGAGGGGCUCUAACUGAUGGCAAGAAGAAGUGACCAGGACUUGAAGAAUGGCAGGGAAGUGAUUGCCUUCCAGCCAGAUGCUAGAGAAGACCCCAGUCAAUAAGAUGGUACUUGCCCACAUUGAAAGUGGAUCUUUAAAACUCAAUCCACUGACUCACUUACCAGUUUGUUUGGAAACACCUUCACAGACACACCAAGAAGUAAUGCUUUACAAAGUUUCUCCAGGCAUCCCUCAGUGCAGUCAAGCUGACAAUGCAAAGUCACCAUCACACAUCGCAACCUAGCAGUAAUGAGAUGCCCUUGUUUGCAAGGAUGGUGUCAGAUGAGAACUAAUAGAGGAUCAGAAAUUUCACCACUGUCCAGCAGCAAUGAAGCUUCCCCCGUGGCAUCGUAAUAAGACCAAAAAAGCGUAGUGAGGCUCCCCUGUCUCAUUUCAGGGAAGCUACCCUAGCCCAGUUCACAAAAGCUUGAGAAAGGAGCUAUGCUCUUACUGCUGCUCUGCAGCAACAAGAUGCUCCCCACAGGUGUCAGCCGUGGCUGGCUGUGGAACUCAGACUUCCACCACCAUGUCACAGUAGUGAGGCAGUUCCCUGGCUGCUCCGCAUCGGUACAUUGUCAGAGGAGGUUGUUGAACAGGUGGUUCAGUAAAAUCUAAGCCUCAUAACAGGAAGCCCACAAUGUCCACAUCUUAACCAUGCCUCUACCAGGAAAAUCUGAACUUGAGUGAGAAAACAAAUAUAUAGCAACACCAAGAUGAGAAUUGUCUGAAUUAUUUAAACAGUCAUAAGAUCCUUAUGUAGCACUUAUGAACAACAUUGAAACAAAUUUUUAAAAAAUAGGAUCAGCAAAGAAAUAGAAGAUACAAGGAAGAACAAAAUGAAAAUUUCAGAACUAAAGAACACAGUGUCAGAAUAAAGAAGCAUUAGUGGAUGAGAUUAAAAGCAAAAUGAAGAGAAAAAGGAAAAAUCUUUUGUGCUUGAAGGUGGAAGAACAGAAACUCUGAACUGAAAAAUCAGAGAAAACACACAGCAAAAUCAAAAUAAGGCUAAGAGAUCUGGGAAGAUUAUAAAGCAAAAGACAACAUCUACUUUUCAGAAUCUCAGGAGAAAGAAGCUCAGAAAUUACUUGAGAGACCAAUGGCUGACAGUUUCCAUGUUUGGCAGUCUAUGUAAAUGCACAGGUUCAAGAAGCAUAGUUCAUUCCAGACAGAAUGAACUCAAGGGAAUACACAUCAAGACUCAGCACAGUCAAAUUUAUGAAAGUUAAAAACAAAGGAAAACAUCUUGGAUGAAGAAAAAAAAGACACUGUACUUAUAAGGGAAAAAUAUGUAACAGCAGAUUUCUCCUUAGAAACUAUGGGAGCCAAAAUGAACUAUCAACCUAGAAUCCUAUAUUCAGUGAAAUAUUCUUCAGGAAUAAAGGAGAAAAAGACUUUUCAGAUGAAGAAAAGCAAAAAGAAUUUGUCUCCAUUAGACCUACCCUAAAGUAAUAGCUGAAGGAAAUUCUCUAAAUGAAAUAUUAACAGAAGGAAUCUUGAAACAUUAAGUAAAAAAUAGUGGAAAGAAUUUAAAUAUGGAAAAAUAUGGGUAGGUACAAUAAGUUUUAUAUCUCUUGAUUUUUAUAUAUUAUGCUUGAUGGUUCAAGCAAAAAUUAUAGCAUUGUCUAUGUACUCAUCCAUGUGUGGAUGGGAAAUAGCUUUUAAAUUAUAUACAGCGAUACCUCAGUUCAUGUACUCACUUCUUUCCAGGAUUCUGGUUGUAAACCAAACUGGACAAGGGCUGAAUCCAAAUUCCCCACAAGGUCAACAUUGAACCUAACCAUUUAAUUAGAUUCAGUUUUUCUCCAGCUCAGUUUGUACCCAGAAUCAUGGAAAGAAUCAAGUUUGUGAACUGAGGUACCCCUCUACUGUAGUAAACAGGAGGGAGAAGGCACAUACAGCAUGGUAAUGUUUCUAUACUGGUAAAAUAUCAGUAGACUGUGAUAAAUUAAUGGGGUAGCAGAGGGAGAACUUUGUCAUGGGGAAAAAAUUGUUUUCUAGCUGUUUAGUGGUAUGUACCCAAAUCUCCAUAGGUGAUAAAAUGAUGUAGAAUGACUCAUACACAUUGUACCAAGAUCAAUUUCCUGGUUUUCAUAUUGUAUAUAUGAUCAUUGUGAAAAACUAGAUAAAGAAAAAUUAGGAUCU